GCAGUGUUUAAUACACAUGUCGACAGGGAGUUGACAGGAACAGGAAAAAGCCUAACGGAUUAGGUAUCUUCAGGAUGAAGAUUUGAUGACUUAGGAUGAGUUAUCAGCAAGGACACCGCUAGGAAGGCGAUGAAUUGGAUAGGUUAAAGGAUUUAGCCACGUCAAGGAACGAUGCAGGGAGCACCAGUUACCUAUUGAAAGAUAAGUAACGCGCAGUAGCAGGAUGGCUACGAAAAGAAUAGACCCCGUUUGGUGAAAGCCAAACGGGGUUUCCUUUUU
rnacentral:misc_RNA from 2 species